GAGCUUGAGGCACGAGAAAGGACACCAUGUGAGGGGCGGGGCGUGAGGAGGAGGGCGGGGCAGGAGAGGGGCAGGAAGGUUGAGGUGGUAGAAGAGGGGCGGGGCUUGCGAAGAGGGGCGUGAGGGAGAAGGCGGGCCGUGAGAGGGGCGGAGCAGGUCGCAAGACCACGCCCCUGGACUCCUACGUCCUCUCCCCCGCCCAAGGCAACCAGGCAGACUGGGCAAGCCACUUUUCUCUUUUCCCUACUGCCCAGCAUCCCCCGCUCCUAGCCUCACUCUGCUGUCCUUCGCACAGAGGCUCCGCAAAGAUCCUCCCAGCUACCAAAAGCCUGCCUGUGAUUAGCCUGUGCUUUUAACUUGCACCUUCGUCCAGACUGAGACUGUUUUUCCAGGUUCAGACGAAUUCUCAGGGUAGCCGACCUUUCCGCUUCCGGAGAGCUGUUUCCUCCUCCGUGCUUCGGUUACUCUAAUGUUAACUCUUAACGUGGAAUUUAUCAGCUUGAGAUCGUACACUGAGACUCCUGCGUGCUGUUCAAGUUACCAUUCCAAUGAAAGAGUUCCAAAGAGGCGGAAGAUGAGAGAUACAACCUGUAGGGUUUGUUGUGGUUUUGAAGACAGAGACUCUACACGUUGCCCAUGCUGACCACAAACUUGAGAUCCUUCUGCCUUAGACAAUGCUCUUAAAGAAAUGUGUAGAUCAGCUCUUGCUUUGUGAUGUUGAAUUCUGUUAACUAUCAAGGUUAAGUAGACUACAACAACAAAUAUACAGUGUAUCAAUUGACUAUAAAUAUCAAACACUUUUAUGUAAUACAGUUACACAUUGUAACAGUUUAUGAAGCACCAUUAAAGACUUUUAUCAUACCA